GACGGAAGGUGCAAGCGUUGCUCGGAAUCACCGGGCGUAAAGGGUGCGUAGGCGGCUUCUUAAGUCUGGUGUGAAAGCCCAGGGCUCAGCUCUGGAAGUGCACUAGAAACUGAGGAGCUUGAGUACCGGAGGGGAGAGUGGAAUUCCUGGUGUAGCGGUGAAAUGCGUAGAGAUCAGGAGGAACACCCGUGGCGAAGGCGGCCUUCUGGGUCCGCCCUGACGCUGAGGCGCGAAAGCGUGGGGAGCGAACGGG
rnacentral:rRNA from 1 species